GGCAGUAAAAAGGUGGGGCGUGUUAAUGAAAACAGUGAACUUCUCCGUAGUUCUCUAUUUGGCCUCUGGAGGGCACUGCUGCUUAAAUUGGAAAUUGCUUUUCUGUAAAAGAUCAGAAGAAAUUCACAAAACCCCUAUGGUUUAAAGAGAGAUUCUGAUCAUUUUUUACACAGUGAGAUGUAAAGCAUCUCAGACACCAGAGGUAGGCAUUUUGUUAAGGCAGCUUCUCUUCCUAACAACCUCCCUACAAUCUCCAUCAGAAGAAAUAUAAAUCCUUUGUCAUUCUUAACUUUAGAGAAACCUGGGUUCAAGUCAGCCAGUCAUCAGGCUCAUUUGUGGGGAACCUGUUAGAAAGGAGCUCACUGCCGCUUCACUGCUCCACCAUGACCUUGGUGUUCAACUUGAUGCUUGAGAUGCUCCUGUUUCUAACAGGAGCUGGAGCCCAGUCAGUGACCCAGCCUGAUGACCACAUCACUGUCUUUGAAGGAGCCCGUCUGGAGCUGAAGUGCAACUACUCAUCUUUUGUUUCACCAUCUCUCUUCUGGUACGUGCAGUACCCCAGCCAAGGACUCCAGCUUCUCCUGAAGUACGUGUCUGGAGACAAUCUUGUUUCAGGCAUCAAAGGUUUUGAGGCUGAAUUUAGGAGGAGUGAGAAGUCCUUCCACCUGAGGAAAAUACCAGCUCUUUGGAAAGACUCGGCCAAGUACUUCUGUGCUCUGAGUGACACAGUGCCUGGGACUGCAGAAGGGGCUGAACACAAACCUCCUGGGACACUGUAGCUCAGUCUUUGUUAUAUUUAGGAAGUUGGCAUGCUCUGUGAAGGCAAACAGUACAGACAAUACAGAAUCCUGAACGUGUUUGGUUCCCAUGGGCAUCUUAGAUUUUUCUUUUCUUCAUUUUUUCUUGUCUUUUCUAUUCUUUUUUUCUUUAUCAUUUUCCAAAGGAAAGACUCCUGUUUUCUAAAAUUUGGCAUUUUUGUCCUCUAGAAUCUGAAUUCUAGGGAAAAUGAGGCCAUAGAAUUUUCAACAAGCUGGAGAAAGUUACUUUCUCCCGUGUCAUUUGGAAUAGUGAUGGACUGAGUUAUAAUAGUUUGAGGUUAGCCAUGUGAGUUGAUAUAACACAAGUCAGAAAAUUUUCUUUACAAUAUUAAUCUCAUCUCUCAAGCAAACAAAAAACCCAGGACAAUGGCUUUCUAACUGCAUUAUCUCCAGACUAUUUUUCUAGUAUCCUAAGAGGCUUCUUUCAUUAAAGGACUUCAACUCUUUGACUAAAGCAUUUGGGACUGGUGUAGCUAAUUACUGCCAACACUAAAGGAUGUAUAUGGGUGACCUUUCCAAAAACAAUAUAGUGUGAAACAAUAAAAGGCUUCCUUUAUUUAUCAGUCCCCAAUAAUAGGCUUCCCAGGUGGUGCAGUGGUAAAGAAUCUGCUGGCCAAUGCAGGAGACACAAGGGCAUCCUCCCUAAUGAGGAGGAAGAUGAGGAGUGCAGUGAAGAGGUGGUUAAAUCAUCUUUAUGGGGCAGUUCUUCUGGGUCUGUGUUUAUCUUUGGCCAGAUAUCUCUUUCCUUUUCCCACAUCAGACCUGUUUUAGGACACUCCGGAAAGAUGCAUGUACAUCUUUUUGCCAAGAUAGAUUCCAGCACAGAGCUUUGUGGGAUGCUUGGCGUCAUCUGUUAUGAGGUGGUGCCACCUCCUUUUUGAGCACUGUGGAGUCUUUCUGUGCCUGUGCAGAUUCCUUGACCUCUUGACCUCAGAAGUGGUCACUUUUUUACUCUAGUAGAGCUCAGCUCUUACUGUUAAUUGUCUUAGUUCAGUUCAGUUCAAUCGCUAAGUCGUGUCCAACUCUUUGUGACCCCAUUAACCCCAGCACGCCAAGCCUCUCUGUCCAUCACCAACUCCCAGAGUUC